rnacentral:rRNA from 1 species
GACGUAGGGCGCGAGCGUUGUCCGGAUUUAUUGGGCGUAAAGAGCUCGUAGGCGGCUUGUCGCGUCGACUGUGAAAACCCGAGGCUCAACUUCGGGCUUGCAGUCGAUACGGGCAGGCUAGAGUUCGGUAGGGGAGACUGGAAUUCCUGGUGUAGCGGUGAAAUGCGCAGAUAUCAGGAGGAACACCGAUGGCGAAGGCAGGUCUCUGGGCCGAAACUGACGCUGAGGAGCGAAAGCGUGGGGAGCGAACAGG